GGGUUGUGAGGUUAAGCGACUAAGCGUACACGGUGGAUGCCCUGGCAGUCAGAGGCGAUGAAGGACGUGCUAAUCUGCGAUAAGCGUCGGUAAGGUGAUAUGAACCGUUAUAACCGGCGAUUUCCGAAUGGGGAAACCCAGUGUGAUUCGUCACACUAUCAUUAACUGAAUCCAUAGGUUAAUGAGGCGAACCGGGGGAACUGAAACAUCUAAGUACCCCGAGGAAAAGAAAUCAACCGAGAUUCCCCCAGUAGCGGCGAGCGAACGGGGAGCAGCCCAGAGCCUGAAUCAGCAUGUGUGUUAGUGGAAGCGUCUGGAAAGGCGCGCGAUACAGGGUGACAGCCCCGUACACAAAAAUGCACAUACUGUGAGCUCGAUGAGUAGGGCGGGACACGUGGUAUCCUGUCUGAAUAUGGGGGGACCAUCCUCCAAGGCUAAAUACUCCUGACUGACCGAUAGUGAACCAGUACCGUGAGGGAAAGGCGAAAAGAACCCCGGCGAGGGGAGUGAAAAAGAACCUGAAACCGUGUACGUACAAGCAGUGGGAGCACGCUUAGGCGUGUGACUGCGUACCUUUUGUAUAAUGGGUCAGCGACUUAUAUUCUGUAGCAAGGUUAACCGAAUAGGGGAGCCGAAGGGAAACCGAGUCUUAACUGGGCGUUAAGUUGCAGGGUAUAGACCCGAAACCCGGUGAUCUAGCCAUGGGCAGGUUGAAGGUUGGGUAACACUAACUGGAGGACCGAACCGACUAAUGUUGAAAAAUUAGCGGAUGACUUGUGGCUGGGGGUGAAAGGCCAAUCAAACCGGGAGAUAGCUGGUUCUCCCCGAAAGCUAUUUAGGUAGCGCCUCGUGAAUUCAUCUCCGGGGGUAGAGCACUGUUUCGGCAAGGGGGUCAUCCCGACUUACCAACCCGAUGCAAACUGCGAAUACCGGAGAAUGUUAUCACGGGAGACACACGGCGGGUGCUAACGUCCGUCGUGAAGAGGGAAACAACCCAGACCGCCAGCUAAGGUCCCAAAGUCAUGGUUAAGUGGGAAACGAUGUGGGAAGGCCCAGACAGCCAGGAUGUUGGCUUAGAAGCAGCCAUCAUUUAAAGAAAGCGUAAUAGCUCACUGGUCGAGUCGGCCUGCGCGGAAGAUGUAACGGGGCUAAACCAUGCACCGAAGCUGCGGCAGCGACGCUGAUGCGUUGUUGGGUAGGGGAGCGUUCUGUAAGCCUGUGAAGGUGUGCUGUGAGGCAUGCUGGAGGUAUCAGAAGUGCGAAUGCUGACAUAAGUAACGAUAAAGCGGGUGAAAAGCCCGCUCGCCGGAAGACCAAGGGUUCCUGUCCAACGUUAAUCGGGGCAGGGUGAGUCGACCCCUAAGGCGAGGCCGAAAGGCGUAGUCGAUGGGAAACAGGUUAAUAUUCCUGUACUUGGUGUUACUGCGAAGGGGGGACGGAGAAGGCUAUGUUGGCCGGGCGACGGUUGUCCCGGUUUAAGCGUGUAGGCUGGUUUUCCAGGCAAAUCCGGAAAAUCAAGGCUGAGGCGUGAUGACGAGGCACUACGGUGCUGAAGCAACAAAUGCCCUGCUUCCAGGAAAAGCCUCUAAGCAUCAGGUAACAUCAAAUCGUACCCCAAACCGACACAGGUGGUCAGGUAGAGAAUACCAAGGCGCUUGAGAGAACUCGGGUGAAGGAACUAGGCAAAAUGGUGCCGUAACUUCGGGAGAAGGCACGCUGAUAUGUAGGUGAAGUCCCUUGCGGAUGGAGCUGAAAUCAGUCGAAGAUACCAGCUGGCUGCAACUGUUUAUUAAAAACACAGCACUGUGCAAACACGAAAGUGGACGUAUACGGUGUGACGCCUGCCCGGUGCCGGAAGGUUAAUUGAUGGGGUCAGCGCAAGCGAAGCUCUUGAUCGAAGCCCCGGUAAACGGCGGCCGUAACUAUAACGGUCCUAAGGUAGCGAAAUUCCUUGUCGGGUAAGUUCCGACCUGCACGAAUGGCGUAAUGAUGGCCAGGCUGUCUCCACCCGAGACUCAGUGAAAUUGAACUCGCUGUGAAGAUGCAGUGUACCCGCGGCAAGACGGAAAGACCCCGUGAACCUUUACUAUAGCUUGACACUGAACAUUGAGCCUUGAUGUGUAGGAUAGGUGGGAGGCUUUGAAGUGUGGACGCCAGUCUGCAUGGAGCCGACCUUGAAAUACCACCCUUUAAUGUUUGAUGUUCUAACGUUGACCCGUAAUCCGGGUUGCGGACAGUGUCUGGUGGGUAGUUUGACUGGGGCGGUCUCCUCCUAAAGAGUAACGGAGGAGCACGAAGGUUGGCUAAUCCUGGUCGGACAUCAGGAGGUUAGUGCAAUGGCAUAAGCCAGCUUGACUGCGAGCGUGACGGCGCGAGCAGGUGCGAAAGCAGGUCAUAGUGAUCCGGUGGUUCUGAAUGGAAGGGCCAUCGCUCAACGGAUAAAAGGUACUCCGGGGAUAACAGGCUGAUACCGCCCAAGAGUUCAUAUCGACGGCGGUGUUUGGCACCUCGAUGUCGGCUCAUCACAUCCUGGGGCUGAAGUAGGUCCCAAGGGUAUGGCUGUUCGCCAUUUAAAGUGGUACGCGAGCUGGGUUUAGAACGUCGUGAGACAGUUCGGUCCCUAUCUGCCGUGGGCGCUGGAGAACUGAGGGGGGCUGCUCCUAGUACGAGAGGACCGGAGUGGACGCAUCACUGGUGUUCGGGUUGUCAUGCCAAUGGCACUGCCCGGUAGCUAAAUGCGGAAGAGAUAAGUGCUGAAAGCAUCUAAGCACGAAACUUGCCCCGAGAUGAGUUCUCCCUGACUCCUUGAGAGUCCUGAAGGAACGUUGAAGACGACGACGUUGAUAGGCCGGGUGUGUAAGCGCAGCGAUGCGUUGAGCUAACCGGUACUAAUGAACCGUGAGGCUUAACCUUACAACGCCGAAGCUGUU
rnacentral:rRNA from 1 species